GGACACUAGUAGCCAUGUUCAGAAGGCAAGAUCAAAAGCACUAUCAACCUUUGGAGCACUGGUAUCUCCAAAACUACGAUCGGCCCAGAUGUCCUUUGAAACAGCACUUGAAUUAAUUGUGGAAUUAGCAAAUUCUAGGUCAGACAUGUUAUCUAGUUUCUCUCAAAUAAAGGGGGAGUGACUGUUGAUUCAGCCACGCGUGCAACACAUCAUGUUCAGAAGCG
rnacentral:misc_RNA from 1 species